AUUGAACGCUGGCGGCGUGCUUAACACAUGCAAGUCGAUCGGUAACAGGUGUAGCAAUACAUGCUGACGAGAGGCGGACGGGUGAGUAAUGCUUGGGAAUCUGCCUAUUAGGUGGGGGACAACCCGGGGAAACUCGGGCUAAUACCGCAUACGCUCUAACGGAGGAAAGCCGGGGACCGCAAGGCCUGGCGCUAAUAGAUGA
rnacentral:rRNA from 1 species